ACACAUGCAGUCGACGGUAACAGGAAACAGCUUGCUGUUUCGCUGACGAGUGGCGGACGGGUGAGUAAUGUCUGGGAAACUGCCUGAUGGAGGGGGAUAACUACUGGAAACGGUAGCUAAUACCGCAUAACGUCGCAAGACCAAAGAGGGGGACCUUCGGGCCUCUUGCCAUCGGAUGUGCCCAGAUGGGAUUAGCUAGUAGGUGGGGUAACGGCUCACCUAGGCGACGAUCCCUAGCUGGUCUGAGAGGAUGACCAGCCACACUGGAACUGAGACACGGUCCAGACUCCUACGGGAGGCAGCAGUGGGGAAUAUUGCACAAUGGGCGCAAGCCUGAUGCAGCCAUGCCGCGUGUAUGAAGAAGGCCUUCGGGUUGUAAAGUACUUUCAGCGGGGAGGAAGGGAGUAAAGUUAAUACCCUUGCUCAUUGACGUUACCCGCAGAAGAAGCACCGGCUAACUCCGUGCCAGCAGCCGCGGUAAUACGGAGGGUGCAAGCGUUAAUCGGAAUUACUGGGCGUAAAGCGCACGCAGGCGGUUUGUUAAGUCAGAUGUGAAAUCCCCGGGCUCAACCUGGGAACUGCAUCUGAUACUGGCAAGCUUGAGUCUCGUAGAGGGGGGUAGAAUUCCAGGUGUAGCGGUGAAAUGCGUAGAGAUCUGGAGGAAUACCGGUGGCGAAGGCGGCCCCCUGGACGAAGACUGACGCUCAGGUGCGAAAGCAUGGGGAGCAAACAGGAUUAGAUACCCUGGUAGUCCACGCCGUAAACGAUGUCGACUUGGAGGUUGUGCCCUUGAGGCGUGGCUUCCGGAGCUAACGCGUUAAGUCGACCGCCUGGGGAGUACGGCCGCAAGGUUAAAACUCAAAUGAAUUGACGGGGGCCCGCACAAGCGGUGGAGCAUGUGGUUUAAUUCGAUGCAACGCGAAGAACCUUACCUGGUCUUGACAUCCACAGAACUUUCCAGAGAUGGAUUGGUGCCUUCGGGAACUGUGAGACAGGUGCUGCAUGGCUGUCGUCAGCUCGUGUUGUGAAAUGUUGGGUUAAGUCCCGCAACGAGCGCAACCCUUAUCCUUUGUUGCCAGCGGUCCGGCCGGGAACUCAAAGGAGACUGCCAGUGAUAAACUGGAGGAAGGUGGGGAUGACGUCAAGUCAUCAUGGCCCUUACGACCAGGGCUACACACGUGCUACAAUGGCGCAUACAAAGAGAAGCGACCUCGCGAGAGCAAGCGGACCUCAUAAAGUGCGUCGUAGUCCGGAUUGGAGUCUGCAACUCGACUCCAUGAAGUCGGAAUCGCUAGUAAUCGUGGAUCAGAAUGCCACGGUGAAUACGUUCCCGGGCCUUGUACACACCGCCCGUCACACCAUGGGAGUGGGUUGCAAAAGAAGUAGGUAGCUUAACCUUCGGGAGGGCGCUACC
rnacentral:rRNA from 1 species